UGUCGAUUUCUUUCUUUGAUUCCUGGUAGAUGAUGGGGUUGGCGAGAAAUGUGCUUUGAGUCCUCCGUCACAGCUCCACCAUUGCUGACCGGAGAGUUGAAAGAUGGAAAGGGCCAGACUGGAUUUAAGAUUUCAUCACUCGGGAUCAACACAAUCGGAGGAAUCAGCUCUAGAUUUGGAAAGGAACUACUGCAUUCAUCCUAAUCUACCUUUAUCAUGUCCAUUACCGCCUUCAACCAUUUGUGUCAGGUGCUCAGCAUUCCGAGAGCAGUGCUGCCUACUCCUGGCGUACUUCAAGUUGAUUAAAUGAUGUGGUAGAAGAAGAUAAGGCAAACUACUUUGGAAACCUUCAAAAGGGGGUGCUGCCUGAAACUCUGGGGCGGUUGCCAACAGGGCAAGCAAGCUACCACUUUGCUUGAGUUAAUGACCGUUAGAGCAUUUCACAGCAAGAUCUUGCGCCGAGUCAGUCUUGGCACUGCAACUGGGUUUCAAAUUCGAAAGGGUGGACUGACAUAUAUUCCUGCUAUUCUUGCCUUUGUUGCCGGUAAAGUUCACAGGCAAUGGCUCAACCACGUCCAAUGUCUACCUGCUGUCCUUGAGGUGGGAAACUUUGGUACCAUUGGCUUUGCUUUGGGUUUUUACAUGUCUUUAUAUGAUCUCGUUGUAUGUUUUUUGAAUAAAGAUUUAAACAGAACUACAUUAUGCUCAACCCCUUCAGAAGUCCAUAUCGUCCUUUCUCUGCA